GCGAGUACGCCCACACACACAUACAUACGAGCAUACACAAUCGCUAACUUACUUUUUGUUGCACCUUAAACUGACGUGUUUCAUCGUGGGUGCACACGCGGUGUUCCUGCUUCAGUUAACAUAUCCAUCCUAACCUGUUGUUUUCAUUUCCAAACAUUUUCCCGGUUCUAUUUUCAAGCAGGGUUGUUUCCGGAUUGUGGCGCACCAGGAGGGAGUCCCAUGAUGACGUAGUGAUGUGAUCAGAAUGUACUGAGUGUUUUCUAUUAAAUGGGGUAUAUGCCAUGGACUUCCGUUUUAGCACUUCCGCAUUUUUUUGCCACAUAGACUGCUUCCGGUGCACAGGCAACAGUACGUGUACAGUGGCUCCUCAGUCGCUGCAGGACUAUUAAUGAUGCCUGUAUAAUUAUUCAGACGUCCUGAAACACUCCAACAAAAACAAAGGAUUUAAGCUGGAUGUGUCAAAACUUCACAAUAACUUCGAAGCUGGAGUUGGACAGGAGUUCUGUUUGUUGGCUUCCUGGAGGGAGAUUGGCUCAGCUAAUGUUGCCAACAACUUUUCUCCUGCUAUUAACUUUUUUGCUUUUCUUUCUAUACAAAGUAUUUCUAUCAGUUGCUCUUUUUCCAUUUUGUAUACAGUAUUUGUGUCAUGGCCCGAGUUCUGUUUUGUUUUUUGUUUUUUUCCUUUUUGGUUUGCCUGCUGCUUCCUUCCCUGUCCACCAGAUGUCACCGGAUGACUGAGCCCCUGGAGAGAUGCGGUGCCAACCCCGUAGGCACACC